GACGAACGCUGGCGGCGUGCUUAACACAUGCAAGUCGAACGGAAAGGCCCUGCUUUUGUGGGGUUCUCGAGUGGCGAACGGGUGAGUAACACGUGAGUAACCUGCCCUUGACUUUGGGAUAACUUCAGGAAACUGGGGCUAAUACCGGAUAGGAUCUCCUGCUGCAUGGUGGGGGUUGGAAAGUUUCGGCGGUGGGGGCUGGACUCGCGGCUUAUCAGCUUGUUUGUGGGGUAGUGGCUUACCCAGGCUUUGACGGGUAGCCGGCCUGAGAGGGUGACCGGCCACAUUGGGACUGAGAUACGGCCCAGACUCCUACGGGAGGCAGCAGUGGGGAAUAUUGCACAAUGGGCGGAAGCCUGAUGCAGCAACGCCGCGUGCGUGAUGACGGCCUUCGGGUUGUAAACCGCUUUCGCCUGUGACGAAGCGGGAGUGACGGUAAUGGGUAAAGAAGCACCGGCUAACUACGUG
rnacentral:rRNA from 1 species